AGGUAAAAAGCUGAGCCGCUGAGAAGCUGUGAGCAUGCUCCCAGCUGGCCAGAUUGAGUGAAAGGUUCUGUGGACUUGAAGAUGACAAUACUGGUGGGGGCAGCACUUGACUAGGAGACCAGACAGGAUAUGAGACACCACUUAUCUCUGGCUACUGUGUGCGUCACUGUUCCCUACUAGUCAGCCUCUUCCUAAUCUGCGUGUCAAAUGUAUCUGCUUAUCUGUUUCUGGUUUUAAAUCCUCUAUUUCUAUUGAUCUGCCCUUGUAUGCAAAUCGAGCCCAUUGAUUUCUCACAAGAAAGCGUUGAUCUUUACUGGAGUUCUCAGGUUGGGACAACCUCCAUGGCACUGGUGUCUAUGUUCAUGAUCCAAACGCCAAAACACUGAAUGGAGAAAGGGGAGUCUCUUCAGCAAACGGUGUUGGGGAAACCGGGCUGAAAUUGCAGACGAGUGAAACAGGACACUACAUAGCACCGUGCACAGAAGCCAA